UGUUGUUAAGAUGUCAGCUUCCUCCAAAGAGAUGAAGCAAUUAAAUGCAGUCCUUAUCAAAAUCCCAAUGACAUUUUGUGCUGAAAGACACCCAUCCUAAAAUUCAUAUGGAAUCUCAAGUAUGCCCAGAUGUCUAAAAUAGUCUUGAAAGGAAGUACUAAGUUGGAGGACUCUGUUUUUACUGAUGUAAAACUUGCUGCAAACCUACAGUAUCAAAACAGCAUUGUAAUGGCAUAAAGACAGACACAUAGAGCAUCGGAACAGAAUAGAGAGCCCAGAAAUAAGGUGGCCAAGGUUGUUCAACGUGGAAAAGACAGUCUUUUCAACCAGUGGUUCCUGAAAAAGUGGAUAUUUUCAUGCAAAAUCUAAACUUGGAUUCUGACCUCACGCCAGAUAUAAAACUUAAUUCUCAAUGGAUCAAGACCCAAAUGUAAGAACUGAAACACUUUGAGGAAAACAUGGGACAAACGUUUCACAAUAGGACUUGGCAAUGAUUUCAUGGAUAUGACACUCAAGGCAUGGGCAAUAAAAAACAGAGUACACACACCAAAAUUCAUGAAUAUUAAAAUCUUUUCUGCCUCUGAAGACAACAUCAACAGAGUAAAAACACAACCCAUGCAGCAUGGGAGCCCAUAUUUGCAAAUGAUCUAUCUGACAAGGGCUGAAUCUCCAGAAUAGACAUAGAACUUCUCAACUCAACAACAAAAAAACAAACAACCCAAAUCAAAAAUGAGCAAAGUACUUGAAUAGACUUUUCCUCCAAGAAGAUACGCAAAUGGUCAACAAGCAUCUAAAAAGAUGCUUAAUGUGGCUAAUCACUGGGGAAAUGUAAGUCAAAAUCUCAAUGAGACAUCACCUCACAUCCAUGUGACGGCACCCCCAAAAAACAGACAGUGAAGAAAGGCAUGCUGGCAAAGAUGUGGAGAUAUUGGACCCACGUACACUGUGGCUGGAAUGUAAAAUGGUAUAGCUGCUGUGGAAAUCAGCAUGGCAUUUCAUUAAAACAAUUAAAAAUAGAAUCACUAAAUGACCCAACAAUUCUACUAUAGGAUAUAUACACCUCAGAGCUGAAAAGUUGGUCUCAAAGACAUAUUUGAACACCCAUGUUCACGGCAUCAUUGUUCAUGAUCGCUGAAAUGUGGAACAACCCAAGGAUCCAUCCAGGGAUGAAUGGAGAAGCAACAUGGGCAUAUAUAUAUAUACAAUUGCAUGUUAUUCAUCCUUAAAAACUAAGGAUAUUCUGAGAUAUGAGACAACAUGGAUGAACCUUUAGGAAAUUAUGCUAACUGAAAUCAACCAGUCCCAAAAAUACUGGCCUUGUGUGACUCCACUUAUAUGGCAUUCCUGAAAUGGUCAGAUUCAGAGAGACGGACAGCGGAUGCUGUUGGCCAGGGGUGGGAGCAGGGGAAGGGGAGUGACCGAUGAGUGGGGACAGAGCUUCAGUUCUGUGGGGUGACAAGAGUUCUGAAGAUGGAUUGUGGUGAUGGCUGCACCACCAUAUGAUGUGGUCAACACACUGAAGAUGCGCGUAAGGAAGUUAAUGUGCUUAAUGACGUGUACACAGAAAAAUGGUCAAGAUGGGACCCCAGGAAAGAGCAGACACCAGGGAAGUGACAAGAGGCUGAGGAGAAGGCAGUUGGAGGCAGCUCUGCCAUGAACAGUAGCAUCCGUCCUCCUGGCUACAUGCCGAGAAGGCCCGAGAUGGACAGAAGAAUCCCUGAGGUUUCUAGGUGUGUCCCUGUUCCAAGGGCAUCCCUGGCCCAGCCUGGAGGGCACAGGACUGGGGAGCUGGAGUCCACUUCUGUGGGCACCUGCUACUCUGAUGAGCCGUUCUCCUCUUGUGUAGACAUUGGGUAGAGGAGAGAAGACCUUGGUGUCCUCCUGUGUCAAGUGGAGUGCGUCCAGCGGGUGACUCCCUGGGUUCCGUAUGAUGCUCAGGAUGGGUCUGUGGCCCUUGGUUCUCCAUCGAUGACGCCCUGUACUCUGAGCACCUGAGAAAAUGCUUUCCCACCUGCUGGAGAUCCUUUAGAACUGAGAGAGGCUUGGGGGUUCGGGUGAAUGAGAACUUGGGAUAAGGAAGAACAUGCCAGAGCACUGUGAACUAAGGCCAGAGUCCAGGGACAAGACCAGUCCUUGUUGGACUCCCGAGGUCCUCACUUGGCUGGAGAGGAGAAUCAUUGCCUUGGUUGAGGUCAGGAUGCCUCCUGAGAAAAAAGGACACCCAAGUGGAGGGACAGAAAGAUGAG